rnacentral:lncRNA from 1 species
UUUUUUUUUUUUUUGAGAUGGAGUCUCACUCUGUUGCCCAGGCUGGAGAGCAGUGGCAUGAUCUUGGCUCACUGCAACCUCUGCCUCCCGGGUUCAAGCGAUUCUCCUGCCUCAGCCUCCCGAGUAGCUGGGAUUACAGGCAUCUGCCACCACGCCUGACUAAUUUUUUGCAUUGUUAGUAGAGACGGGGUUUCUCCAUGUUGGCCAGGCUGGUCUUGAACACCUGACCUCAGGUGAUCUGCCCGCCUCGGCCUCCCAAAGUGCUGGGAUUACAGGCGUGAGCCACCAUGCCUGGCCCAAACUGGCAAUGUUUUAAAGGAGUAAGCAAACCCAAAUUACUAACCUUGUGAUCAUUUCUCUCACAGCAUCCCUAAGACUUACAGAGGAAAUUCCAAUGUCUGUUUCAUUCCUGGGGUGGGUGAAUCUCCUAUCUGUAAUAUGAAACAGCAGGAAGUUCCUGCUUCUUAUUUCAGGUAGGAUGCAUAUUCUUUAUUCUGGUUGCUUCUCUGUAAUGGGAGAAAAAAUGAUAAUCAUGGCAAUGAACAGAGGAGGACUGUGAAGCAUAAACUUAAACCCUGAUUGUACUACUAUGUGUGAAAGCCUGGGACUGGUAAAAUGGCUGCUUUGUGCCCUUUCCCAUCUCUAUAGGGAAUCCAUACAAAUCUCUGGACAAUCUGUUACUUAAAGCUGAAAAUUCUAGACCUUAAAAAGAAAGAGAAAAUAUCAGCUUUGCUCAGAGAGAAUCGAUUGUUUAUUAUUUUACAUCUGAAAAUAAAUAUCUAUGGGCAGUUCUAUGUAUAAUCCUAUGUGGUACUUUUAGAUAUAAUAGUAAGAGCAAGUCUCCACCAUUUAAAGAGAACCGCAGGUGUUUGACGUUUUGCUAGGAACCUUGUUAACACUCUCCUGAAACAACCCUACAAAGUAAGUGUUAUUCCUACUCUACAAAUGAGAAAUAGGCUUAAAGAAGUUACAGCACUUACAAAUAGGUCCAAGAUCUGUACUGAGCUCCAGGUUCAAGCGAUCCUCCUACUUCAGCCUCCCAGGUAGCUGGGAUUACAGGACACGCCAUCACGCCCGGCUAAUUUCAUAUUUUUAGUAGAGACGGGGUUUCACCGUGUUAGCCAGGAUGGUCUCGAUCUCCUGACCUCGUGAUCCGCCCGUCUCGGCCUCCCAAAGUGCUGGGAUUACAGGCUUGAGCCACCGCGCCCGGCCGGCUUCAUGUUUCUUAAAACAUUAUGUGGCCUGGCUCCAGCCUGGGCAACAAGAGCAAAACUCUGUCUCAAAAACAAAAAACAAAACAACAAAAAAAACCCAUCACAUACUCAGAAGCAUUUUCAACAUUAUUACAUGUUUCUCUAUUACAUUUUUCCUUUUUUUUUUUAAAGCUUAUCAGCUAUCGUUAGUGUAUUUUAUUUGUGGCUCAAGACACCUCUUCUUCCAGUGUAGCCUAGGGAAGCCAAAAGAUUGGACACCCCUACUCUAAGCCUAAAAGCCUAAUAGCUCACCUUUUCACAACUAUAAUUUUGAGUCACUUUAUGGCAAGUAAUACUCUAAUUAAUAUUAGUCUGCAAU